GUUAAGCGACUAAGCGUACACGGUGGAUGCCCUGGCAGUCAGAGGCGAUGAAGGACGUGCUAAUCUGCGAAAAGCGUCGGUAAGGUGAUAUGAACCGUUACAGCCGGCGAUGUCCGAAUGGGGAAACCCAGUGCAAUUCGUUGCACUAUCGUUAACUGAAUACAUAGGUUAACGAGGCGAACCGGGGGAACUGAAACAUCUAAGUACCCCGAGGAAAAGAAAUCAACCGAGAUUCCCCCAGUAGCGGCGAGCGAACGGGGAGCAGCCCAGAGUCUGAAUCAGCUUGUGUGUUAGUGGAACGGUCUGGAAAGUCCGACGGUACAGGGUGAUAGUCCCGUACACCAAAAUGCACAGGUUGUGAACUCGAAGAGUAGGGCGGGACACGUGGUAUCCUGUCUGAAUAUGGGGGGACCAUCCUCCAAGGCUAAAUACUCCUGACUGACCGAUAGUGAACCAGUACCGUGAGGGAAAGGCGAAAAGAACCCCGGCGAGGGGAGUGAAAAAGAACCUGAAACCGUGUACGUACAAGCAGUGGGAGCACCUUCGGGUGUGACUGCGUACCUUUUGUAUAAUGGGUCAGCGACUUAUAUUCUGUAGCAAGGUUAACCGUAUAGGGGAGCCGCAGGGAAACCGAGUCUUAACUGGGCGUUAAGUUGCAGGGUAUAGACCCGAAACCCGGUGAUCUAGCCAUGGGCAGGUUGAAGGUUGGGUAACACUAACUGGAGGACCGAACCGACUAAUGUUGAAAAAUUAGCGGAUGACUUGUGGCUGGGGGUGAAAGGCCAAUCAAACCGGGAGAUAGCUGGUUCUCCCCGAAAGCUAUUUAGGUAGCGCCUCGUGAACUCAUCUUCGGGGGUAGAGCACUGUUUCGGCUAGGGGGUCAUCCCGACUUACCAACCCGAUGCAAACUACGAAUACCGAAGAAUGUUAUCACGGGAGACACACGGCGGGUGCUAACGUCCGUCGUGAAGAGGGAAACAACCCAGACCGCCAGCUAAGGUCCCAAAGUCAUGGUUAAGUGGGAAACGAUGUGGGAAGGCACAGACAGCCAGGAUGUUGGCUUAGAAGCAGCCAUCAUUUAAAGAAAGCGUAAUAGCUCACUGGUCGAGUCGGCCUGCGCGGAAGAUGUAACGGGGCUAAACCAUGCACCGAAGCUGCGGCAGCGACACUAUGUGUUGUUGGGUAGGGGAGCGUUCUGUAAGCCUGCGAAGGUGUGCUGUGAGGCAUGCUGGAGGUAUCAGAAGUGCGAAUGCUGACAUAAGUAACGAUAAAGCGGGUGAAAAGCCCGCUCGCCGGAAGACCAAGGGUUCCUGUCCAACGUUAAUCGGGGCAGGGUGAGUCGACCCCUAAGGCGAGGCCGAAAGGCGUAGUCGAUGGGAAACAGGUUAAUAUUCCUGUACUUGGUGUUACUGCGAAGGGGGGACGGAGAAGGCUAUGUUAGCCGGGCGACGGUUGUCCCGGUUUAAGCAUGUAGGCUGGUUAUCCAGGCAAAUCCGGAUAAUCAAGGCUGAGGUGUGAUGACGAGGCACUACGGUGCUGAAGUAACAAAUGCCCUGCUUCCAGGAAAAGCCUCUAAGCAUCAGGUAACAUCAAAUCGUACCCCAAACCGACACAGGUGGUCAGGUAGAGAAUACCAAGGCGCUUGAGAGAACUCGGGUGAAGGAACUAGGCAAAAUGGUGCCGUAACUUCGGGAGAAGGCACGCUGGUGUGUAGGUGAAGUCCCUGCGGAUGGAGCUGAGACCAGUCGAAGAUACCAGCUGGCUGCAACUGUUUAUUAAAAACACAGCACUGUGCAAACACGAAAGUGGACGUAUACGGUGUGACGCCUGCCCGGUGCCGGAAGGUUAAUUGAUGGGGUUAUCCGUAAGGAGAAGCUCUUGAUCGAAGCCCCGGUAAACGGCGGCCGUAACUAUAACGGUCCUAAGGUAGCGAAAUUCCUUGUCGGGUAAGUUCCGACCUGCACGAAUGGCGUAAUGAUGGCCAGGCUGUCUCCACCCGAGACUCAGUGAAAUUGAACUCGCUGUGAAGAUGCAGUGUACCCGCGGCAAGACGGAAAGACCCCGUGAACCUUUACUAUAGCUUGACACUGAACAUUGAGCCUUGAUGUGUAGGAUAGGUGGGAGGCUUUGAAGCGUGGACGCCAGUCUGCGUGGAGCCAACCUUGAAAUACCACCCUUUAAUGUUUGAUGUUCUAACGUUGGCCCCUGACCGGGGUUGCGGACAGUGUCUGGUGGGUAGUUUGACUGGGGCGGUCUCCUCCCAAAGCGUAACGGAGGAGCACGAAGGUUAGCUAAUCCUGGUCGGACAUCAGGAGGUUAGUGCAAUGGCAUAAGCUAGCUUGACUGCGAGCGUGACGGCGCGAGCAGGUGCGAAAGCAGGUCAUAGUGAUCCGGUGGUUCUGAAUGGAAGGGCCAUCGCUCAACGGAUAAAAGGUACUCCGGGGAUAACAGGCUGAUACCGCCCAAGAGUUCAUAUCGACGGCGGUGUUUGGCACCUCGAUGUCGGCUCAUCACAUCCUGGGGCUGAAGUAGGUCCCAAGGGUAUGGCUGUUCGCCAUUUAAAGUGGUACGCGAGCUGGGUUUAGAACGUCGUGAGACAGUUCGGUCCCUAUCUGCCGUGGGCGCUGGAGAAUUGAGGGGGGCUGCUCCUAGUACGAGAGGACCGGAGUGGACGCAUCACUGGUGUUCGGGUUGUCAUGCCAAUGGCACUGCCCGGUAGCUAAAUGCGGAAGAGAUAAGUGCUGAAAGCAUCUAAGCACGAAACUUGCCCCGAGAUGAGUUCUCCCUGAGACUAUAAGUCUCCUGAAGGAACGUUAAAGACGAUGACGUUGAUAGGCCGGGUGUGUAAGCGCAGCGAUGCGUUGAGCUAACCGGUACUAAUGAACCGUGAGGCUUAACC
rnacentral:rRNA from 1 species